rnacentral:rRNA from 1 species
UACGAAAGGUGCAAGCGUUGUUCGGAAUGACUGGGCGUAAAGCGCACGUAGGCGGGCCGGUCAGUCACAGGUGAAAGCCCCGAGCUCAACUCGGGAACUGCCUGUGAUACUGCCAGUCUUGAAUGCUCGAGAGGUCAGUGGAAUUCCUGGUGUAGGAGUGAAAUCCGUAGAUAUCAGGAGGAACAUCAGCGGCGAAGGCGGCUGGCUGGCGAUGCAUUGACGCUGAGGUGCGAAAGCGUGGGGAGCAAACAGG